rnacentral:rRNA from 1 species
UACGUAGGGUGCAAGCGUUGUCCGGAAUUAUUGGGCGUAAAGAGCUCGUAGGCGGUUUGUCGCGUCUGCUGUGAAAACUCGGGGCUCAACUCCGAGCUUGCAGUGGGUACGGGCAGACUAGAGUCCGGUAGGGGACCACGGAAUUCCUGGUGUAGCGGUGAAAUGCGCAGAUAUCAGGAGGAACACCGGUGGCGAAGGCGGUGGUCUGGGCCGGCACUGACGCUGAGGAGCGAAAGCGUGGGUAGCAAACAGG